GGGAUUGCCCUAGUAACGGCGAGUGAAGCGGCAACAGCUCAAAUUUGAAAUCUGGCCCUUGUGGUCCGAGUUGUAAUUUGUAGAGGAUGCUUUUGGUGCGGUGCCUUCCGAGUUCCCUGGAACGGGACGCCAGAGAGGGUGAGAGCCCCGUACGGUUGGACGCCUAGCCUAUAUAUAGCUCCUUCGACGAGUCGAGUAGUUUGGGAAUGCUGCUCUAAAUGGGAGGUAAAUUUCUUCUAAAGCUAAAUACCGGCCAGAGACCGAUAGCGCACAAGUAGAGUGAUCGAAAGAUGAAAAGCACUUUGAAAAGAGGGUUAAAUAGCACGUGAAAUUGUUGAAAGGGAAGCGUUUACGACCAGACCUUCUCCAGGGGGAUCAUCAGGUGUUCUCACCUGUGCACUUCCCCUGGUUUAGGCCAGCAUCGGUUUUCUUAGGGGGAUAAAGGCUUGGGGAACGUAGCUCCUUAGGGAGUGUUAUAGCCCCUUGCGUAAUACCCCUCGGGGGACCGAGGACCGCGCUCUGCAAGGAUGCUGGCGUAAUGGUCGUCAACGACCCGUCUUGAAACACGGACCAAGGAGUCGAACAUUUGUGCGAGUGUUUGGGUGUUAAACCCUCACGCGUAAUGAAAGUGAACGGAGGUGAGAGCCCUUACGGGUGCAUCAUCGACCGAUCCUGAUGUCUUCGGAUGGAUUUGAGUAAGAGCAUAACUGUUCGGACCCGAAAGAUGGUGAACUAUGCGUGGAUAGGGUGAAGCCAGAGGAAACUCUGGUGGAGGCUCGCAGCGGUUCUGACGUGCAAAUCGAUCGUCAAAUCUGCGCAUGGGGGCGAAAGACUUAUCGAACCAUCUAGUACUGGUCCGA
rnacentral:rRNA from 1 species